rnacentral:rRNA from 1 species
AGUGAACGCUGGCGGUAGGCCUAACACAUGCAAGUCGAACGGCAGCACAGUAAGAGCUUGCCCUUACUGGUGGCGAGUGGCGGACGGGUGAGGAAUACAUCGGCAUCUACUUUUUCUUGGGGGAUAACGUAGGGAAACUUAUGCUAAUACCGCAUACGACCUACGGCUGAAAUCAGGGGAUCUUCGGACCUUUCGCGAUUGAAUUAGCCGAUUUCGGAUUAGCUGGUUGGCGGGGUAAAGGCCCACCAGGGCGACGCUCCGUAGCGGGUCUGAGAGGAUGAUCAGCAACACUGAAACUGAGACACGGUCCAGACUCCAAGGGGGGGAAGAGGUGGGGAAUAUUGGCCAAGGGCGGAAAGCCUGAGCCAGCCAUACGGGGUGGGUGAAGAAGGCCUUCGGGUUGUAAAGUCCUUUUGUUGGGAAAGAAAAGUAGCAGGUUAACUCCGCGCUGUUCUGACGGUACCAAAAGAAUAAGCACCGGCUAACUUCGU